CAAGCGGUGGAGUAUGUUGUUUAAUUCGAAGAUACACGAAGAACCUUUACCAGGUCUUGACAUACCAUUGACAGGCGCAGAGAUGUGCUCUUCUUCGGACAAUGGAUACAGGUGGUGCAUGGUUGUCGUCAGCUCGUGCCGUGAGGUGUUGGGUUAAGUCCCGCAACGAGCGCAACCCCUAUUGCUAGUUACUAACAUUCAGUUGAGGACUCUAGUGAGACUGCCAGUGACAAACUGGAGGAAGGUGGGGGUGACGUCAAAUCAUCAUGCCCUUUAUGACCUGGGCUACAAACGUACUACAAUGGCCAAUACAAAGAGAUGCGAAGUUGUGAGAUGGAGCGAACCUCAAAAAAUGGUCUCAGUUCAGAUUGAAGUCUGCAACUCGACUUCAUGAAGGCGGAAUCGCUAGUAAUCGCGGGUCAGCAGACCGCGGUGAAUACGUUCCCGGGUUUU
rnacentral:rRNA from 1 species